rnacentral:tRNA from 1 species
UCGUUAGCUCAGUUGGUAGAGCGCCUGCCUUACAAGCAGGAUGUCGGCGGUUCGACCCCGUCA